AAGACUAUAGACCUGCGGAGUACCUGCGGAAGGAUCAUUAGUGAACGCCCUCACGGGCUUAUAACUAUUCCAAACCUCUGUGAACCGCGCCCUUCGGGGCUAUUUUACAAACAUGGUGUAAUGAACGUCAUAUAUCAUAACAAAACAAAACUUUUAACAAUGGAUCUCU
rnacentral:misc_RNA from 1 species